rnacentral:rRNA from 1 species
AGAGUUUGAUCCUGGCUCAGGAUAAACGCUGGCGGCGUGCCUAACACAUGCAAGUCGAACGCCCUUUCGCGCAAGCGAGAGGGAGUGGCGGACGGGUGAGUACCACGUGGGUACCUGCCCCAAGAUGAGGAAUACCUCCGAGAAAUCGGAGACAAGACCGCAUAGCCUUCUUCACGGAAGGAAAGCUCGCAAGAGCGUCUUGGGAUGGGCCUGCGCCUGAUUAGCUAGUUGGUGGGGUAAGAGCCUACCAAGGCGACGAUCAGUAGCUGGUCUGAGAGGAUGAUCAGCCACACUGGGAUUGAGAACGGCCCAGACUCCUACGGGGGGCAGCAGUGAGGAAUUUUCGUCAAUGGAGGCAACUCUGAACGAGCAACGCCGCGUGCAGGAUGACCCUUUUCGGAGCGUAAACUGCUUUUCUUGGGGAAGAGACCGGACGGUACCCAAGCAACAAGCCCCGGCUAACUACGUGCCAGCAGCCGCGGUAAUACGUAGGGGGCAAGCGUUGUCCGGAGUUACUGGGCGUAAAGGGCCCGCAGGCGGUGGCUCAAGUUUGCACUGACAAUCUCCCGCUUAACGAGAGAGGGUGUGCGAAAACUGGGUCACUUGAGGACGAGAGAGGGACAGGGAAUUCCGGGUGGAGUGGUGAAAUGCGUAGAUAUCCGGAGGAACCCCGAAGGCGAAGGCACUGUCCUGGCUCGUAUCUGACGCUCAGGGGCGAAAGCUAGGGGAGCGAACGGGAUUAGAUACCCCGGUAGUCC